ensembl:miRNA Mir3474 microRNA 3474
CCCUGGGAGGAGCCGUGGAUUCUUUAGAGUGCAUCUGCUUCUUGUUCCAGGUUCAGCU